AGAGUUUGAUCCUGGCUCAGAUUGAACGCUGGCGGAAUGCUUUACACAUGCAAGUCGAGCGGCAGCGCGGGGCAACCUGGCGGCGAGCGGCGAACGGGUGAGUAAUACAUCGGAACGUGCCCAGACGUGGGGGAUAGCCCGGCGAAAGCCGGAUUAAUACCGCAUGAGAUCUGAGGAUGAAAGCAGGGGACCUUCGGGCCUUGCGCGUUUGGAGCGGCCGAUGGCAGAUUAGGUAGUUGGUGAGGUAAAGGCUUACCAAGCCUGCGAUCUGUAGCUGGUCUGAGAGGAUGAUCAGCCACACUGGGACUGAGACACGGCCCAGACUCCUACGGGAGGCAGCAGUGGGGAAUUUUGGACAAUGGGCGCAAGCCUGAUCCAGCCAUGCCGCGUGUCUGAAGAAGGCCUUCGGGUUGUAAAGGACUUUUGUCAGGGAAGAAAAGGGCGGGGUUAAUACCCCUGUCUGAUGACGGUACCUGAAGAAUAAGCACCGGCUAACUACGUGCCAGCAGCCGCGGUAAUACGUAGGGUGCGAGCGUUAAUCGGAAUUACUGGGCGUAAAGCGGGCGCAGACGGUUACUUAAGCAGGAUGUGAAAUCCCCGGGCUCAACCUGGGAACUGCGUUCUGAACUGGGUGACUAGAGUGUGUCAGAGGGAGGUAGAAUUCCACGUGUAGCAGUGAAAUGCGUAGAGAUGUGGAGGAAUACCGAUGGCGAAGGCAGCCUCCUGGGAUAACACUGACGUUCAUGCCCGAAAGCGUGGGUAGCAAACAGGAUUAGAUACCCUGGUAGUCCACGCCCUAAACGAUGUCGAUUAGCU
rnacentral:rRNA from 1 species